rnacentral:rRNA from 1 species
GCAGUCGACGGUAACAGGAAGCAGCUUGCUGCUUUGCUGACGAGUGGCGGACGGGUGAGUAAUGUCUGGGAAACUGCCUGAUGGAGGGGGAUAACUACUGGAAACGGUAGCUAAUACCGCAUAACGUCGCAAGACCAAAGAGGGGGACCUUCGGGCCUCUUGCCAUCGGAUGUGCCCAGAUGGGAUUAGCUUGUUGGUGGGGUAACGGCUCACCAAGGCGACGAUCCCUAGCUGGUCUGAGAGGAUGACCAGCCACACUGGAACUGAGACACGGUCCAGACUCCUACGGGAGGCAGCAGUGGGGAAUAUUGCACAAUGGGCGCAAGCCUGAUGCAGCCAUGCCGCGUGUAUGAAGAAGGCCUUCGGGUUGUAAAGUANCUUUCAGCGGGGAGGAAGGGAGUAAAGUUAAUACCUUUACUCAUUGACGUUACCCGCAGAAGAAGCACCGGCUAACUCCGUGCCAGCAGCCGCGGUAAUACGGAGGGUGCAAGCGUUAAUCGGAAUUACUGGGCGUAAAGCGCACGCAGGCGGUUUGUUAAGUCAGAUGUGAAACCCCCGGGCUCAACCUGGGAACUGCAUCUGAUACUGGCAAGCUUGAGUCUCGUAGAGGGGGGUAGAAUUCCAGGUGUAGCGGUGAAAUGCGUAGAGAUCUGGAGGAAUACCGGUGGCGAAGGCGGCCCCCUGGACGAAGACUGACGCUC